AUUUAUAUAAUAUAAAUAAUUAUAUUUGAUUUCCAAUCAAAAAAUCUAUAGUCUAGUAUAAAUA
rnacentral:tRNA from 1 species